UGCUCUUUUAUGAACUGCCAUACCAGUGUGUCUUCCAUGGAGAAGAUGACACACCCAUCACCUGACCUCCUGCCUAAUCUGGAGACCAUCAUCAUGUUGCCACACUACACACCUCUGAAACCAUCAAGGAUGACUCAUACCGAGGAAACUGUAUUUCCUGUCAGAGAUGCUCAGUGAUCCUCAGAGCAGAGAGAGGUAUCUUCUGAGUUCUUCAGUGUCCCAACUGAGACAUUCAACCCUCAUCACAGAGCUCGUGUCUUUCCUCACCAUCAUGUGAGUGUGAGAUUGCUCUGGAGUCUGGUGGCCUGCAGCAUCUAUGAGAACAAGCUUGUCCUGUGUGCCUGCAUUCCAGCUUCUUAGACUCUACGCAAGUGGA